UAGAACUCGGUACGCGCGGAUCUUCCAGAGAUUUCCGUAGGUGAACCUGCGGAAGGAUCAUUACCGAGUGCGAGCCCUCGCGGCUCAACCUCCCACCCUUGUCUCUCUACACCCUGUUGCUUUGGCGGGCCCACCGGGGCCACCCGGUCGCCGGGGGACGCAUGUCCCCGGGCCCGCGCCCGCCGAAGCGCUCUGUGAACCCUGAUGAAGAUGGGCUGUCUGAGUACUAUGAAAAUUGUCAAAACUUUCAACAAUGGAUCUCUUGGUUCCGGCAUCGAUGAAGAACGCAGCGAAAUGCGAUAAGUAAUGUGAAUUGCAGAAUUCCGUGAAUCAUCGAAUCUUUGAACGCACAUUGCGCCCCCUGGCAUUCCGGGGGGCAUGCCUGUCCGAGCGUCAUUUCUGCCCUCAAGCACGGCUUGUGUGUUGGGUGCGGUCCCCCCGGGGACCCGCCCGAAAGGCAGCGGCGACGUCCGUCUGGUCCUCGAGCGUAUGGGGCUUUGUCACUCGCUCGGGAAGGACCUGCGGGGGUUGAUCACCACCAUAUUUUUACCACGGUUGACCUCGGAUCAGGUAGGAGUUACCCGCUGAACUUAAGCAUAUCAAUAAGCGGAGGAAAUCGUCGAACG
rnacentral:rRNA from 1 species